rnacentral:rRNA from 1 species
AACGAACGCUGGCGGCAGGCUUAACACAUGCAAGUCGAACGCCCCGCAAGGGGAGUGGCAGACGGGUGAGUAACACGUGGGAACCUUCCUAGAGGUACGGAACAACUAAGGGAAACUUGAGCUAAUACCGUAUACGCUCUUGCGGGGAAAGAUUUAUCGCCUUUAGACGGGCCCGCGUCGGAUUAGCUAGUUGGUGGGGUAACGGCCUACCAAGGCGACGAUCCGUAGCUGAUCUGAGAGGAUGAUACGCCACACUGGGACUGAGACACGGCCCAGACUCCUACGGGAGGCAGCAGUGGGGAAUCUUGGACAAUGGGGGCAAGCCUGAUCCAGCCAUGCCGCGUGAGUGAAGAAGGCCUUCGGGCUGUAAAGCUCUUUUACCAGGGACGAUAAUGACGGUACCUGGAGAAUAAGCCCCGGCAAACUUCGUGCCAGCCGCCGCAGUAA